AGUGAACGCUGGCGGUAGGCCUAACACAUGCAAGUCGAACGGCAGCACAGUAAGAGCUUGCUCUUACGGGUGGCGAGUGGCGGACGGGUGAGGAAUACAUCGGAAUCUACUUUUUCGUGGGGGAUAACGUAGGGAAACUUACGCUAAUACCGCAUACGACCUACGGGUGAAAGCAGGGGAUCUUCGGACCUUGCGCGAUUGAAUGAGCCGAUGUCGGAUUAGCUAGUUGGCGGGGUAAAGGCCCACCAAGGCGACGAUCCGCAGCUGGUCUGAGAGGAUGAUCAGCCACACUGGAACUGAGACACGGUCCAGACUCCUACGGGAGGCAGCAGUGGGGAAUAUUGGACAAUGGGCGCAAGCCUGAUCCAGCCAUACCGCGUGGGUGAAGAAGGCCUUCGGGUUGUAAAGCCCUUUUGUUGGGAAAGAAAAGCAGCAGGUUAAUACCCCGCUGUUCGGACGGUACCCAAAGAAUAAGCACCGGCUAACUUCGU
rnacentral:rRNA from 1 species